GGAACGAACGCUGGCGGCAUGCCUAAUACAUGCAAGUCGAACGAACACUUCGGUGUUAGUGGCGCACGGGUGCGUAACGCGUGGGAAUCUGCCCUUGGGUUCGGAAUAACAGUUGGAAACGACUGCUAAUACCGGAUGAUAUCGAAAGAUCAAAGAUUUAUCGCCCAGGGAUGAGCCCGCGUAAGAUUAGCUAGUUGGUGAGGUAAAGGCUCACCAAGGCGACGAUCCUUAGCUGGUCUGAGAGGAUGAUCAGCCACACUGGGACUGAGACACGGCCCAGACUCCUACGGGAGGCAGCAGUAGGGAAUAUUGGACAAGUGGGGACG
rnacentral:rRNA from 1 species